UGGUUUAAUUCGAAGCUACGCGAAGAACCUUACCAGGUCUUGACAUCUUGCGCUAACCUAAGAGAUUAGGCGUUCCCUUCGGGGACGCAAUGACAGGUGGUGCAUGGUCGUCGUCAGCUCGUGUCGUGAGGUGUUGGGUUAAGUCCCGCAACGAGCGCAACCCUUGUUACUAGUUGCCAGCAUUAAGUUGGGCACUCUAGUGAGACUGCCGGUGACAAACCGGAGGAAGGUGGGGACGACGUCAGAUCAUCAUGCCCCUUAUGACC
rnacentral:rRNA from 1 species